GUGCUCACUUAGGCACCACAUACACUAAAUUUGGAACAAUACAGAGAUUAGCAUGGCCACUGUACAAAGAUGACAUAUAAAUUCGUAUUCCUCUAUUUCCUUUA